ensembl:scaRNA small Cajal body-specific RNA 16
GCAGUUGCAGGUGUGAGCAUUCAUCCAGCUGUCUGAUGCUCAUGUAUGAUACUGC